UACGGAGGGAGCUAGCGUUUGUCGGAAUUACUGGGCGUAAAGCGCACGUAGGCGGCUUUGUAAGUUAGAGGUGAAAGCCCGGGGCUCAACCCCGGAAUAGCCUUUAAGACUGCAUCGCUUGAAUCCGGGAGAGGUGAGUGGAAUUCCGAGUGUAGAGGUGAAAUUCGUAGAUAUUCGGAAGAACACCAGUGGCGAAGGCGGCUCACUGGACCGGUAUUGACGCUGAGGUGCGAAAGCGUGGGGAGCAAACAGG
rnacentral:rRNA from 1 species